rnacentral:rRNA from 1 species
GAUGAACGCUGGCGGCGUGCCUAAUACAUGCAAGUCGAGCGAACGGACGAGAAGCUUGCUUCUCUGAUGUUAGCGGCGGACGGGUGAGUAACACGUGGAUAACCUACCUAUAAGACUGGGAUAACUUCGGGAAACCGGAGCUAAUACCGGAUGAUAUUUUGAACCGCAUGGUUCAACAGUGAAAGACGGUCUUGCUGUCACUUAUAGAUGGAUCCGCGUUGCAUUAGCUAGUUGGUAAGGUAACGGCUUACCAAGGCAACGAUGCGUAGCCGACCUGAGAGGGUGAUCGGCCACACUGGAACUGAGACACGGUCCAGACUCCUACGGGAGGCAGCAGUAGGGAAUAUUGCGCAAUGGGCGAAAGCCUGACGGAGCAACGCCGCGUGAGUGAUGAAGGUCUUCGGAUCGUAAAACUCUGUUAUUAGGGAAGAACAUAUGUGUAAGUAACUGUGCACAUCUUGACGGUACCUAAUCAGAAAGCCACGGCUAACUACGUG